rnacentral:sRNA from 1 species
GUGGGCGGAGCCAAGCGCAGCCAUGUCCGCGGCCUUGCUGCGGCGGGGCCUGGAGCUGCUGGCGGCGUCCGAGGCCCCCCGGGACCCUCCAGGUCAGGCCAAGCCGAGAGGGGCUCCGGUGAAACGGCCCCGGAAGACGAAGGCAAUUCAGGCCCAGAAACUGCGGAACUCGGCCAAGGGAAAGGUCCCCAAGUCGGCACUGGGUAAGUUCGGAAAGGGGCUGAAAGUGCUGCCUCCGGUGCUGGGACCUGCGCCCCAGAGGAGGUGGCGCUUGAGGCAGGGCUUGAAGCGUUUGCCCGGUAUUGCUAGACCUACUGUGUGCCAGGCGCGGAGCGGGGCCCUGGACAUACGAAGGUGACAGAACACCGUCCUGGCCCUCGUGAACUACGGCCCUAGUAGGGAGAGAAGCAUCAAAGAAUAUCAAACCCAGUGUAUCAUUGCUAAGUGCAUUGAAGCCUAUGAAUUAAAAGACUACGGUACUCUGAUGGGGACUUAGGCCAAGUCAGCCUUCUCUGAGGAAGUGACAUUUCAGCCGAGAGCUGAAGGAGGUAUAAGACUGAGCUAGGUGAAAAGUUGGAGAAUAUUCUAGGAAGAAUAGUAUGUGCAAAGGUCCUGAGUCAGAAAGGAGGUUGUUGCCUUUGAGAAUUUGAAAAAAUAAAGGCUGGUACGGGUGACCUAGUGAAUGAGGAUCAAAGAUGGAGCAUUUAAACACAUUCACUAACACUCUGCCAGGUGCUGAUUCUCAGUGCUGUACAAAUGUAAGCUCGUUUGAUCCUUACAACAGCCCUUUGAGGUCGAUACUACUAUCACCCCCGUUUUACAGAUGCAGAAAAAGGCACCUGCCCAGGUGGUACAGGCAUUG